rnacentral:rRNA from 1 species
AACGUAGGACGCGAGCGUUAUCCGGAGUUACUGGGCGUAAAGCGUGCGCAGGCGGUUCGCCAAGUCAGGUGUGAAAUCCCCGGGCUUAACCUGGGAAUUGCGCUUGAAACUAGCGGGCUUGAGUGCGGCAGAGGGGGGUGGAAUUCCACGUGUAGCAGUGAAAUGCGUUGAGAUGUGGGGAACACCGAUGGCGAAGGCAGCCCCCUGGGUCGACACUGACGCUCAUGCACGAAAGCGUGGGGAGCAAACAGG